CCCUGCAAGGAAAAAACCUGGCGGGCGGGCUGAAACCCCGCUAAAGCCAGCGGGAGCUUUGCUCCAGCAGGGUCAGGCUUUCGCAGGCAGGGUUUAUAUUACAAAAUCCUCCGGAGAGAGCGGUGCUGCGGAAACAGCGCGAGGCGCCGCACGUCACUCCUCGGGCACCCGGCUCCGAAACGAGAAUAAUUCAGAGUAUAUCGGAUGCCACGAAAAUCCUCAGAGCAGACUUGAAUGAAAAGCAAACUUGAAUUAGAAACAAGAGGACUGCAGCAAUACAGAGCUGAAGAGCACACGGCCAGAUGUUGCAAUAAGGGCAGAGCGAGCUACGUGGCGGCUCUCGCACGGAGGGGCCGAGCCAGCCGCGACGCUCGGGCAGCGGCAGGUUUGGGGAGGAGGACAGUGGUCCCGCGCCGCUCGGCAGAGCUGGCUGCGGCGCGCCGUGCCGCGAGAGAGAUGCGAAACGCCCCUGCCCAGCCGGCCGGCGGGAUGCUUCUCCUCGGGGCGACUGCAGCAAACACUGUAGACUGAUUUUCUUUUUUACUAAACAAAGACUGAAACCAGGACAUGCUCACCCUUAAGAUUUAUGCGUUUUGAAAACAACUCAGAAGGCAAGAAGGCAGAGCACGAAGAAUCAAAGCAAAAAGCAAAUCAGCAGAAUGGCGCAAACAUGCAGAGAUGAUGCUUCUUCCUCCUUUUUGGAGUCACUCCAUCGGUAGAUUUGCUAAGAAAUAAAUUACAGGCCAGACUCUUCCCAGACUAUGAAUAUAGUUGAAACCUAACAAAAUACAGAUUAUAUAUGCAGCAGUUCUGGAAGAUCCAUUACGCUAGAAAUUGGCACGUGCAUUGACAGCUGUGAUUAUUUUAAAUUACAGCCCUACUUCCAAAUCAUUCAUCCCCUAUGGCGCUAAGAGGUAUACAAAGAAACACUGAGAGAGCAAUAACUUGUUCCAAAGGCUUACGAAAGGAAGAGUUCAGACAAAUGUGGAGAGAAAGGGAUAUAACUCAUGAGAUUGUUGAUGCUUAGAAGUAUGUAUAAGCAGUGUCCUGAAAAAGGCAUUUCUCCUGUUGUAAGAGCACUCGGGGAGCCACAAAGCCAGCCAGCUUCCCUGGAAAUCAAUGGUGUUAAAAGGCCAUUAAUUAGGUGUCUGCCCCAAUGCAGAUCUGGCCGUGGGAGACUGACCCAGCUCUGCAUCUGGAUGGAUACUGGAUACCUGGUGCGCUCCUGAGACACCACGGUGUAUCUGAGAAGAUGCACUCUGGCGAAAGAUGGGAGAAGGCCACGUGCAUCCAUGGUUUCUCAGCAUUUUCAGUUUACUGGGCAAUGAACACCAACAGCAAGAAGGAGAUGUCAAAUCCUACCAAACCCAGUUAUAAACUUCUAAUAUUUCCAUCCAUCUUCGGACUAAAUGCUAACACUGAUACUUUCACAUGAAUUCAAAUGACCCUCAACAAGAGCUCUCCACAUGGCUUGACACCAUCGUCUUUAACACGAUAGUCACAGCUAAAGGGAAGGCUCACACACAUCAUCCAUAUUCCGUCUUGCUCCACAUCCCAAGCCAGUGGAGAAAAGUGCAUCAUCUCCCUAAUUUAAAAAAUAUAUUGACCCUGCUGUUUAUUCUAAAGAAAGAGCAUCAACGUUGGGCAGCAAUGCAAGCACAUUUCUCAGGACCUGAAGUUGCCCGACACACGUUUCAUCUUACCAAUAAUAAGUCGUAAAGUCCACAGGUUUUAAAUCCCUUUCUCGAAUUGCUUCGCUUUGGCCUGGAGCCUGUACCACGGCACACCACGAUUGCACCCGGCGCGUGGGACGGGCACGCAGCGCUGCCUCCUCCCCGAAAGCCGAGCCCCAGGGCUGCAGGCGCACCGCGGCGCAUGCUGGGUCUGGGGUGCAAUUUGACUAAUCUUCAUAAUACUCAGAUAUAAUUCUCAAGGUACUGUAAUCAAACAUUUAAUGCCCGUCUUUAAUACAAAUUAAAGAUAGGCAGCUGUGCCUUUUUGGAUCCAAAACAUCCAUUUGCUUUCACAUACGUGUGAGUUACGAGCUCAUUUGCGCUGACAGAAAAGAGAGGUUGAAUAAAUCUAACGCAACCAAGUAUUAGAGACCGAAAAUCCCUUUACAAAGAGUCGACUUCUUAACCACCUUUUAAUUCUUCUCAGGUAUUUCCGUCUUCCAUUUGGCAUGCAGAAUUUAAGCAUAUGUAAGCCACAUGCAGAAAAUAGCUUAAUAGUGCGCUUCAUCUCGGCGCCACGUGACGGAGGGCAGCAAUAUGCCCGGCCGCUCCAGUCGGCCUCAUCAGUUAUUUUUGACCCUGGGAGAACUUUGCAUGUCAUUAACUGAGCUCUCUUUGUCGCUGGAAAUGUUGCAGCCGCUCACGGUAUCUAUCAAUAACACCGCCACGGCAAGAAAACACUUCAAAGGGCUGGGGAUGGCGGGGUGGCUCCCUGUGGAACAGCAGCCUCAUCCGAGCAUCUUUGAAGCCAACAGAAAGACUCUACUGGUUUUAAUCGUCUUGGGAUCCAGCCCUGAAGGUGCAGCCAAGAGCCCAGGACUGACGAAGACUAUUUUAUUUUACCGAGUACGUGUGAAUUGCUUUAGCCUAAUCCUCACCGCGUUUCCUGCUCUGGAAGACGAAGGCGCAUCUCCUUCACUAAGACCUCGCUAAAGCGGCAAGGCUGCGACCCGGUUCCAAAGCUUCUCCCUGGGCUGGGAGUGGGGAAAAACAGAGUAUGUACCCCAAAAGUUCUUAGAAACGCCUACAAGACUUCUGCGUGGUUAGGUGCAGAUGCCGACCAUUCAAAAGCCAGCCUUGACGCUGCACGUCCCCAACAGCGACUCUGCCGGGGAACUCGGGGGGGGGGGGCUGGGACCGCGUUCUUCCUGGCCCCUCCUGCAGAAGACCGCUGUCUCCGCGCUGCUCCCCUGGUCGCACAGGGCCGUGCUGCCGCCAGCGGGAAGGCAGCAAGCAGUGUCCAUCUGGUGCCAAAAUUGUUCAAUAGCCCUCAGUAGAAAUGAGCAAAUUUUAGUUAAAAAAAAGAAAAAACAAACAAAAAAAACCACGCAGCACAGAUCAGUCAAAAGGGAUGGAGCAGCUCUGCUUCUCGCUAACUGCUUCUCAGGCACUCGAUGGGCAGCUGACUACAGGGCAGAAAAGCAAACUACCAACGAGAAUCUAGGUACAUUCUCUGCUAAAACAGAAAAGUUUCAAAAAAUGCUGUCAGGCCACUUCUCCAGGCCCCGUGCAUCAGCCCAUGAUUCGGGAGGCAUUCGAGAUAACGAGUGCAAGCUGCGGCGAUCACCAAAUGAACUCUCUGAGAUAAUGAACUCUCAGAUAGCUCAGGAAAGGCUGAAAGGGGUGGGGGGUGGAGGAGAAUUAGACUAAAACCAUCUUUAUCAGAUUCUGCCAGGAGCAACUUUUCGGAGGAAAUUAAAAUCAAUCCUUGUAGGCUUAGAUUUCCACACAUUAAGGAUUAUAUUAAAAGUAAGCACUCAUUCAUUCUUUCCAGCCGUCUGAGCCAAACCAUGUGCCAGAUAAAGUAAAACAGGGAGGAUGACGGAGCCCUACAGGCUGCUUCUCCCUCGUACAUCCCCUUCACGUGAGGGCUGCGCUCCUGGAUGUCCGCGCACUUCUACAACUGCAAGCACAGGCCAACCACGCGCCCUAGCAGUUACAUUUCAGCAUCCUAUUAGCGUACACCAGUCUCCUGCUAUCACUUAAGCUGCUCUUAUCGGAUGCUGGUAACUUUGAAAUCACAGCCUUUUACCACCCGCCCCUCUGCAGCCUCGCUGGAGCGCAGAGGACCCUGCAGACACACCACCAAGAUAAGCACGGAUCGCUCCUCGCCACUUAAAAGCAUCCGAGUCUUUGCACGUUAUCCACCAACAAGUGCUCUGUGGCACUCAAACACUAACUUCAUUAGCGUCAAAGCAGCAAGGUAUUUCAGCUCAGGCCUGAUUUUCAGCGUGUAAUUCCCUUGGCUUCAGUAGGACAAGCAACAAGCUUAAAAUAAGGGUGAAGCUCCACGUUACGGUUUCUGCCUCCGCUGCAGCACUUUAGGAGAUGUUUAGGAAAUGUUUGUUGCUCGUUGCUUUGAAACCCCAUUCUUCCUGCUGCAUUGGUCCAUCGCGAGGACCGUGCCUGUGGGGUGGGGAUGCGGCGUGUGGGGCACAGCUCACCCAGGUGGGCUUUCUUUUUUCUGCCAAAUUGUAAAAGGUAGCCACACCACGGUGCAUAUGGCUAUUGAGAGCUGCAGAGCCCACGGUCCUGGUGAUUUUACCUGAUACGGGGCCAGAACAUCCGAUACUUGCACAUUAAAAGAGACAGUGGUCUCUACACUCAAGGGAGCAAAAGCAAAACGAACCAAAGCAUUGCAUAACAGCUUAGAGGAGGCUUUAGAAAUGCUUCAUCUGAGCUGACUUCCCAGAGAAAUGGGUGGACUGAACAAAAGACAUGAACGUUAGCGGUUUCUUUUGGACCGUGCAGUCCCAGCACGCUUGUGAACAUCGUCCAGAAACCCCUGUGGAAAUGUCCUGAGGGGCCAAAGGACGUCCUGGGGCGUGCACAGAGCGGACUGCCCCGGCGUCCCCGAGGAGCGGUCCUCACCCCGGCCGUGGGCAGGAGGGAACACGCGUGCUGCCUCGCCCCCAGCUCUGCUCGCCCUCGCUGGGCAGCGCGCGCUGGCUGUGAGCCCGCCGGCUUCUCCACUCUUAUCACUGCAGUCAACACAGCUGGCUGAAACAGCUUCCUACCUGAUUAUGUGCAGGAAGAAAUAAAAUAAUACAAUAGGCCUUUGCCUUUCCAUUGCCAAGCCAAGCUGUAGUGACCGGUGAAUGAACUGGGAUGAUGUCUAGUGACAGGUAAAAAAGGGAAGUUUCUUAAAGAAAGGGGUUCGACUUAAUUUGUUACAGCAGAAGACGGGGAGAGGCUGAUGUGCCCGGAGCCCGUUCUUCCAGCCAGCAAAGACUGUCCCAGAAGAAAUGACUCUGUUGGGUGGAGGCUCUACCAACUCUUCCAAGAUUUAAGGCCCCAAGAGCUGAAGUCAAUAGAAUGACUUCUCUGAGCUUGGGGACAUCACAGAAUAAAUGGGAGAAAAACAGGUAACUACAGCAAGAGGAGAAGUCAUGGAUCUCUUCUAUUGCUUCCAUCUGCUACAAAGCACCUUCUCCACCUCCCUCGACACCGCCCGCAGUGUCGUUACAUCCCGCACGGAGGCUUCACGAGUGCCGGAGGCAGCAGGGCCGGGAACACACAAAGCCUGCCUUCAGAGCUGCGUCUCUGCACUGGUGCAACCUAUUCGACUCAAAAAAACAAACAAGAAAAAACACCAAGUAGCGACCGCAGGUCUCCCCGGGGAGGGAAGCAUUGGAUGUCAUUUCCUCAAAUUAGGAGGAAAUGUGUGAGCCACCCAAGGAAGCCAGUAUAAUGGGAUGUAGAAGAGACUGAUGAAGCCUAUUUUCCAUGCUGUGGCACUUUUUUGAAAGUAGCAAUUGAAGCAGCAAGCAGUCUAGGCAAACUGACACUUCAUUUUCUUAGAGAACAGUUGUAUUAUAACACCAUUUAGAAAUCCCAGAUUUCUCUGUGCUAGAUGAUGUGAUACACAAAAUAAGCCAGCCCCAUUUCACAGGUGAGCAUCACACCGGGUGGUUGUAGCAGCGUUGAGCUUCUUACUACUCCCUGGCCUUAUAAAGAAAAAUCUUGGCUUAACGCAGCAGUGAUCAAACACUGUUUGCCUGCCUGCGUACAGUCUUGGGCAUCAAAAACAUUUUCAUACAUGCUGCUGGCUCAACUCGUCUUCCCUGUGAGCUAGUAAAAAGCAAAACACGAAUAGAGCAUUAAGGGGGUUGGAUUGAGAGGGACUACGUUGUUGUUCCUUAAUGGCUGCACCGAUCAGCUGCCAUGCAAGUCGGAAGCGCAGUAGAUGCCUUUGUGCUUAGUGUCCCUCAUCAUCACACCUUCUUGUUUCUAAACCUUACAGUCCCCUGCAUUCGAGCAGCAGCUAUGAUUGCAGUUUGGGGUAUAUGCUGUAAAUUCAGAGCAUGGGCAAAAACACACACAGACUUCCCAGCUCAGGGAGCUACUUGAAGAUGCUGAACUUCACAGCUCAUCCUUGAAAGCGUUUUACUGCUGUGUUUCCUGCAGUCUAACACAUAUUUCAAUUACUGAAAAAGCUGGUGCUUUGGGAAACAAAUGCUCCCAGCUAUUGCAAUUUUAUUUAUUGCUGUAUUUUUCAUCUGUGUGCACAUGUAUCAGAUCUACAGACUUUACAAAGUCAGCAGCCAUCAACGGCCCAACCACGACAUGUCGGCUGAAGCCAGCCACCGCCAAACAGCCCACCAGCAGUGCCGUAACCUUGUGCUGAAGCUCAGGCCAGCUGUGUGCGCCCUAGAAAGUCACCGUCUCAGGGAGGAAACGCGUAAGAAGGGAAGCAUAAAAAACGAGCCACUGAAGCAGACCAGACGCAGCCAGACAGGCACUACACCCCUCAGUGUCACCUUCGUGGCCCGUGGCUCCCGCUCCCUGCGGCUAUCGCUGCCGAAGCACUUCGGGCUGCUGUAUAACGUGCCAGGGAGCUGCUGGCAGGGGCUGAGAGGGGACGCGCUCGCUUUGGCAGGAGAAAGGCAAGCACUCUCAUAGUAAGCUAGGACAGAUGCUAUGGGACUAUAAAGGAGGAUAAGAAACAGCAGUGAGUAAUGAUGCAGUUCCCAGCUCUGGCUGGGGACGUAUACUGAGGAACUUCAGAAAUGAUGCAUCAUCUAGGGUUGGAAGGAGGAGAAAAGUUUCAAGAUACAGGAAAACAGCCUUCCCGAGUCAAGCCCCGACUCCUGCUAGCUCCCGUCCCCAGCAGUGGCACUAGCAGAGGCUGUUGAAGGACAGCGGGCAAGUCUGGCCGCUUUCUGUGGUUCCUUACCCUGGCACGUCCCCAGCGCCCACUCGUUGCAUCAGGGAGGUUAGAGGGGACGCUCCCGCCCAGUCCUUUCUAUUUCUGCAUCAAACUAAAAGAUGUUAGGUUUAACCACCUGGUCACAUCACAACGGGUGCAACCAUCCGUAGUGGAGGUGUGUGGAUUAAGACAGCUGAGAAUUAAGUUGUAGGCAAUGAAGCCUGUGAGGGCUUGAUCCUGCAAAGCCCUGCGGUGCACACCGGGGUUUGAGCACCCGUGUCGCAGAUCGGUCCCUGACCUGCGGCUCUAGCACGUGGGGUUUCCAGGGUUGCACUACAGCUCUCCUGGUUACAUGGAGUCCCAACGCCAUAGCAAACAGGAGACGGCAGAACUGAGAGCAAAAAUAUGUAUAGUUCUCCCUAUUUAAGGAGAAAUGACAGAAGCAGCAAUGAAGGACCACUAAUGAUAGGCAAACACAGUAAAAAUUAAAAUAAGAAUUAGAGAUUAUACAGUAGCAGCAGAGGAUAUAGUGAUGUUUCACUGCCUACACGGCAGCUUUGCUCUGGGGUUGCCACAGACCAGGCGUGCUGAAGCCAAAGCAGCUCCCCGGUAAUAGCGGGGUGACUCUUGAGCAGGGCACUUGGGUAACUGGUCAUCACUGGUUUUACCCACCUGUGACCAUGCUAGAGCCACUAGCUGUGGCUCUGAGCCCCAGCAGGGGAGGUGGCCACGGAGUUAUCAGAUGAGGAAACUCAGCUGUGACAGCAUCUGUCCCUGCCGCCCUGGACAAACUUGGGCUGAGACAUUAACAGCAGCAACCCCAACCAAAUUUAGCCUUUGGGAUGAAUGCCAAGAAGGACACAAGGAGAAACAGAAAAGGCCAGCAGCAAGACUGCCGGUGUCAUGGUGCACAGGGUGGCUUUCACCGUCCCACGGGGGAUGUGGCGUUUCGGAGCCGUGGGCACCGGCAGCGUGGCACAGUCUGCACCGACAACACAUGCAGCGCAGGGCUGCUGUUUUAAAUAAAAGCAGACAGGUCUGUGCUGUCACAGGCCUUUCUCCGAUGCAGGAACCAAAGCAAACAAGUUCUCUGCAUUUUAUCAGCGUGCGGAACUGGCAGUCCCUGGAGCCACUAGGUCUGACUAAUCCUAAAGAGAAGGGGGGCAACAAACCCAGGAAAAAACAGCUUAGACAGACCAAACCACACGUACAGCCAACAGCUUUCAGACAGGUGGUAGCAGAUAGCGAUAGGCUAAGAAGUUCUCAUUUUGUUCUGCAUCAGCUUUAUUAAAUCUUUGCUAAGGCACCUAUUUCUGCAUGCCUCUCUACAGACACCCAAACCACGCUGCGCAUCCCUGCGCAUGGGUUCGGGGUGCUGGCACUGUCCGUCCAGCCGCCCUUUGGGGAUGCAACAUUUGCCCUUUUCACACGGCCUCUCAUGGGUGGGAUCGUUAUCAUUAGUCUUCCGAUAACGCCCGGCCCCACAGAGAAAUACAGACGUGCUGUGGCAAUCGCAGAGCCUGCACCACCAUCGUAUCGUCGAGGGGUAGGAAAAGCCACGUGAGCAACUGAAGAGCUCAGGGGACCUAUCACUUCAUUUUCCAGGGUGGCUUUGUUACUGCAAAAACACGUAUAAACAAUCACAGCGCAACUCAAUGAUGCUGCUGUCGCAGCAGAUUCAUUUUCUGCAGAGGAGAGGAAGAGACCAGCAGAGGUAGGUACGCUGGCAACCGAGCCUGCCCCGGUUAUCGCUGACGCCUUAGCAAGAGCUGACACAGGGCCUGCUAGGAGCAUCCUCCGAAGCACGAGCGGGCAACGCGGCUGGUGAACAGCCUCUUUGCAGCGGGUUUCACGGAGAGGGCGCUUUGCGAGCAGUAGGUCAGGGGGCUGACAGGAAAAAUGCAAAUAACCUGAACUUCCAAUGACACCAGUUUGGAGACUGAAAGUCCUGAGCGCUGCUUCCCGGCAUGGGUGCCGCAGGCAGGCUGCGCUCCUCCUACCUUGUCUCCGGAGCGACUCUGCCAUUACCUGUGUCCCUGCACCGGCAGACCCAGCCGGGGAGCCCUGUAAAGACCUCGGCCGCCAACGCUAUCGCCUUCCAGCCCUGGCUGAUGGGGCAUGGCAUCAUCAUCCGCAACCAAAACCGAAUUCACAUCGACCGCCAUAGGAGAAAGCUUGGAGUUCACCAAGUUAAUAUUCUAAUUCUUUUACACUAAGCCUCCAUUUCUGGGCUGUUAGAUCACAAAGUCUUCAAAGAAUAAGAAAUCAGCAUUUCUGCCUAUUUGAUAAAGAGCUGGGAAGCACACGCCAGUUUUCAGGACACUAAGAGCUAUAUGGCAAUUGCAUUAGUAGCUAGAACUUUUGGUACCAAGGAGCGACAAGCACUUGCCAAAGCACAGUAGAGAUUACUUUUAAAAUUACAACACUCUUAAGGGGGAAAAAAAACAAACCAAAACAAAAUCCAAUAUUGUCCACAGGUCAAAUUCAAACGAUUACUAACCCGAUGCAAUGAAAUCCAAGUGACUCACCCAACUGAACCAGGACACUCCUGUGAGAUACAACUACUUUACCUUAUCUGUGUAUAUUUUCUAAUUAGGAAGGAAUGAGAAGCCCACGACAAGUGAAUUCUACAUUAUUCAUAAAUUGUAGCAGGACACAGUUGUAUGUUGUGGUAAACUAUAUCACUGUUACUUCUCUUAAGAAAAAGAUACAGACUGGUUACGAACCUGAUCUUUUUUUAUUUUUUCCCCCUCUUAGAACUAACAAUUUUAUUUCUAGAUAUAAAAAGCACCCAGCCCCCAGAAUUGGCAAGUUUCUGAUAAAACACAUCUAGAAAUCACACAGCAGCAAGUGCGGGAUGCAAAGACCAGGUCACCUGCUUAGAGAUCCAUGUCCCAGCUACUGCAGAUCCCAUUAACAUAAAUGAUGUAUAUACAUACUGGAAGGAGAGAGGAAAUUCCCUACGGCAAUCCAGCUCCUUUUCUUAUAUCUGUGCCCCUAACAGAAAGGGCUUCCACAAGCCUCUGCAGCAUCCGCCCAGGGCUCUGCAAGAAACUCCCCGUGGUUUCAGGGCGAGCUCUCCACCAGAGCACAGAGUCUUGGCUCAAAGCCCACGAGAAUUUCUUUUAACUUAAUAGAAACAAAAUUUCACACAGAUAGUUGCAAGGAGUGGAUCUACUCCAAGAUAAGCGGGUUCGGCCUCAGGUUUUCAGGGAACUGGUGACUAAUACUCUUUGUGAGCAUCUCCCUCAUUCUCGAAAAUGUGGCACAAUUUCCUCUCGUUAUCUGAGAGCCUGUAAAGACAUCUUUGCCUGUUCCCAUCACAAGGCGUUCAGAGGAGAAAAAACAGUCUUUGUACCCCAGUGACAGUCUCUGCGUGUUUUCUAAAGCAGUAUUUUAAUAAAAAAGUAAGGUUGAUCAUGUGGCUUACAGUUCUCCAGUGUUUAGAUACAUGUUCUUAAAGAAGCAAGGAAAUAAAGGUAUCACCUUCUCUCAGUCUUCUUUGAACACACAUUAUAAUGACACUGCAUCUCACCAGUCUAUUAUAGAAUUAUCAUUUACACACAGAACCUGUUCACCCCUUUAAUUCUCUCCUUAAAAACCAGAUUAAACCAGUCAGAUAAAAUCACUUGUUUACUGUGUCAGAUUGCAGGGGAAUUUUGCCUAAGGACUGAGGGUUGGACUCUUCAGACUCUCUCUGCUUUAGUUUGUAUGUAUUUUACAGUAUUAAUUUCAGUCAAACUUGUGUGAAGCUGAGCCAAUCAGAUGCCUGCAAGAAAUUAGUUAACCAAACUUUGUAAUUCAUACACUUUUGACUGCAUUUGUUUAAUUACUGAGAAUGACAGUUUCUAUUGCAGGACAAAGCAAAUAAAAGUGAAUCAAAAGAUGGAACAUUG